rnacentral:misc_RNA from 1 species
UGGUUCUGGCAUCGAUGAAGAACGCAGCGAAAUGCGAUAAGUAAUGUGAAUUGCAGAAUUCAGUGAAUCAUCGAAUCUUUGAACGCACAUUGCGCCCAUUAGUAUUCUAGUGGGCAUGCCUGUUCGAGCGUCAUUUCAACCCUUAAGCCCUGUUGCUUAGCGUUGGGAGCCCGCUGGCCUCUGGCCUGCAGCCCCUCAAAGUUAGUGGCGGAGUUAGUGUACACUCUAGGCGUAGUAAUUUUUAUCUCGCUUCUGUGGUUACGCUGGCGCCUGCCGUAAAACACCCAAUUUUUCAAUGGUUGACCUCGGAUCAGGUAGGAAUACCCGCUGA